CUGCCUUCCCCUCGUUCAGACGCACUGCCUCAGCUCAGACUGUGUGAGCUGCUCCUGGACAAACAUGUUCGUUCCACCUCCAGCUGCAGUGAUGGGCUCAUCAGUGAAGGCGUUCCUCCUCAUCACGGGUCAGACUCACGGAGCUGACCAGCAGAUCCUGGAUCAGCUGGAGAGGCAGGGACUGAGAGUCAGACCUACAGUCGACCUACAGCAGAGCGAUGUCAUCCUCCUCUUCUGUCCUAUCCUGUCCCGGGUCCGCUCCGACGUGGAGGCGGCUUUCAGAAAGAUCCCAGAUGGAGCUGAGGAUAAACCAGUGAUCCUCGUCCUGCUGCAUCACACUCGUAAAGUGGAGCAGGUGCUGAAGCCGAGCAACUGGAAGGAGCAGUUCCCCAACAUCACUCUGGAAGUCCAAGUUCUGUAUCAUGAGUCUCAGAACGGUCUGCUGGACUGUCCCAGGAACCAGGAGGCCAUUCAGACCCUCGUGAGCCUGAGCCAUGAACUCCAGACCACUGAGAAGACUGAAUCUGAGCCCGUUCCACCUCCAGCUGCAGUGAUGGGCUCAUCAGUGAAGGCGUUCCUCCUCAUCACGGGUCAGACUCACGGAGCUCACCAGCAGAUCCUGGAGCAGCUGGAGAGGCAGGGACUGAGAGUCAGACCUACAGUCAACCUACAGCAGAGCGAUGUCAUCCUCCUCUUCUGUCCCAUCCUGUCGCAGGUCCGCUCCGAUGUGGAGGCGGCUUUCAGAAAGAUCCCAGAUGGAGCUGAGGAUAAACCAGUGAUCCUCGUCCUGCUGCAUUACACUCGUAAAGUGGAGCAGGUGCUGAAGCCGAGCCGCUGGAAGGAGCAGUUCCCCAACAUCACUCUGGAAGUCCAAGUUCUGUAUCACGAGACUCAGAACGGUCUGCUGGACUGUCCCAGGAACCAGGAGGCCAUUCAGACCCUCGUGAGCCUGAGCCAUGAACUCCAGACCACUGAGAAGACUGAACAUAGGUCCAGACGCUGCCCUUGUUGUUCAGUGUUAUAAAAGAAUGACUCAAUUGUAAUUCAACCUUAG
rnacentral:lncRNA from 1 species